GUUAACUAUUUGCUUUUCCUUGAGGGCAGCCAGGGGUGGCUGAGGAAUGUCACACCUAUUACGGAGGGGAAGCGGGUGCAGAGGGGGUGCAAGGUACCAGCUUUUGCUUUGUCCUCAGCCAGCCUCCUGUUCCCUCAUCAAUCUGGCCUGAGUGGGGUCUG